GACGAACGCUGGCGGCGUGCUUAACACAUGCAAGUCGAACGGAAAGGCCCUGCUUUUGUGGGGUGCUCGAGUGGCGAACGGGUGAGUAACACGUGAGUAACCUGCCCUUGACUUUGGGAUAACUUCAGGAAACUGGGGCUAAUACCGGAUAGGAGCUCCCGCUGCAUGGUGGGGGUUGGAAAGUUUCGGCGGUUGGGGAUGGACUCGCGGCUUAUCAGCUUGUUGGUGGGGUAGUGGCUUACCAAGGCUUUGACGGGUAGCCGGCCUGAGAGGGUGACCGGCCACAUUGGGACUGAGAUACGGCCCAGACUCCUACGGGAGGCAGCAGUGGGGAAUAUUGCACAAUGGGCGGAAGCCUGAUGCAGCAACGCCGCGUGCGGGAUGACGGCCUUCGGGUUGUAAACCGCUUUCGCCCGUGACGAAGCGUGAGUGACGGUAAUGGGUAAAGAAGCACCGGCUAACUACGUG
rnacentral:rRNA from 1 species